rnacentral:rRNA from 1 species
CCUACGGGUGGCAGCAGUGGGGCAUCUUGCACAAUGGGGGAAACCCUGAUGCAGCGACGCCGCGUGAGUUCCUCCUUCUCUCGGUACGUCCCUCUCUCUCCUCCUUCCCUCCCCUUCCUCUCCCUGCCUCCGCCGCCCCGGCUCCCUCCGUGCCCGCCGCCGCGGUCCUCCGUCGGGGGCACGCGUUCUCCUUAUUGACUGGUGGUAACGGGAGCGUAGCCGGCGCUGCACUUCCGGAGUGAAAGCCCAUUGCUUAACCAUGGUACUGCUCUGGAAACUGUAGAGCUUGAGUGCGGGAGGGGCAGGCGGAAUUCCUAGUGUAGCGGUGAAAUGCGUAGAUAUUAGGAGGAACACCGGCGGCGAAGGCGGCCUGCUGGACCGUAACUGACGUGGAGGCGCGAAAGCGUGGGGAGCAAACAGGAUGAGAGACCCGAGUAGUC